rnacentral:Y_RNA from 1 species
GGCCGGUCCAAAUGCAGUGGUGCUUACAACUAAUAAUUGAUCACAACCAGUUACAGAUUUCUUUGUUCCUUCUCCACUCCUAUUGCUUCACUUGACUAGUCAUAA